rnacentral:lncRNA from 1 species
CUCUUCUUCUUGCAUGAAAUAGCUUUUUGAAAAGCUAACAACAAGAUUUAGAUUUUAUUAAAGAUGAAAGUUCAAAAAAUAUAAUAAAAAACCUCAAAUCAAUCUUAAAUCUUACUACCCAAAAAACUCAAAUAAUCUCCUUCUUACAAAUCUACUUGGAUCUCCGUCUUUUUAGCUCAAUUACUUACAUGAAAUAGCUUAUUAAAAAGCC